GCAAGCUCUCAAGUCUUCACGCACAACUAGCCUAUUUUUCAAGCUUCUCAAACUCUUCAUUCCUCUCUUGUUCUUUCACAUGGAUUAUGGGCAAGCUAUGAGUCUCAGCAUUUGAAGUUAUAUUUUUGUUAUUUUUGGGCUGAACCUUUCCCGAGUUUUGAGCUUUGGGUAACGAUUAUUGGUGUUAGAACUUCCAAUCUAUCGAUUAUUUGGAGCAAUUAUGACCAUAGCGGCGAGCUUCAAUCAUAACAUCCUGAGUACACUGCUACCAAAGUAUCCACAAUACCGGAGUACCUACAGUCACAACAUCAGAAUCUACACGGUUUAGAGGGUUGCCGCAUCCGCACAGAUAGAAGGACAAAGAUUGAGAUUGCAGUUGCAAAGGCAAGGAUCGAACAACGGACCAUCAUAAUAGAAUGGGCCAUUGUCAGACAGGAUGUGAUGGUGCCUCCAUUUGAUCUCAUCGACCAUAUUUUUCAAGAAAAUAAUUAGCGAAGCUUGUACACUUCCAACACAGUCUAUCCUAGACUUUUGCGAGAAUUUUAUGCUAACUUGAAGAUUGACAAGCUCCUGGACUUCCUUAGCCAAAUCAUGUGGAACCCCCCUCCAUUGAAGACUUGAGGAUGUUAUUUGAUCCUCAAGGCCUUGAAGAGAUGAGGAACAUUCCCAUUGGAUGGCUGCAAUCUCCUCACCGGCUUCUAGCUCGUAUCAUGAUGUAGAAUUUAUGGCCGCUCUCCAGAAACAGGAAUAUCACCAUUCGUAGGGCCAGAUUUUUAUAUGCCAUCAUCAGACGUGUUCCCUUUUGUCUUUGCACUGUGUUAGAUGUACUAGCUUUCUUGGAAUAUUUGUGUGAUUUGAUCAACCAUUGAAGUCUAACUUAGGGAAGAGCCCUAAGUUAAAGGAGUCCAUUGAAGAACCCAUUAGACAAGCGGUCUGGUAGGGAGGCGUUCACGUAUAGGUAUAUGUCAGAGUUAAAGGUAUGACUACUGCAUUAGGUUAUGUGAGUUCGACUGCUUUGUAACUAGUUUUUUCUUCUGAAUAG